ACGGUGGCUCAUCCAAAAAUGAAAAAAUUGCAGUAUGGGAUUGCAAAUAUUUUUUCCGUUCCCUGUUUUCUACCUUUGCAAAUUUCUUCUAGAAUUCCUUUAAGUCUUCUUCUUCCACUUCUCCAUAUAUUGGAGCUUUUGGAUUGAAACCCAGCAGUGUUGUGAUUGCUCCAUACAUAAUAAUCUUUACUUCAUCCUUUAUUCUAAAGGAUAGGCAUGGAAUUUCUUCAUUUGUCUUGUCAUUCCAUUGCAUGACUUUUUCAUGGUCAUGAAUAUCUCCACUGCCACAUCAUUGUAUACACUAACGGGGCCAUUAAGAGUGAAUUACAUCCACCCAAUAUUUCCCAGGAGCUUGUAAAUAUCAUUAUGAAAUCCAAUAUCCCGAAGAAAGUCGUCAUCGAAAUCAUGGUUGGCAACGAUACUCCCUUCAAUAUUCUUCAACCGCUCUUCCUCCUUGCUUUUUAUCAUGAAGUCGUAUGCCGACUUCUUUUCGGUGAAG
rnacentral:lncRNA from 1 species